rnacentral:lncRNA from 1 species
GGCUUAUGGGACGAACACAAGAACACUCAAAACUAAGGGUAGAUGUGAACGUAAUGGUAUACCUAAAGCUUUGAUUACCACUUGAUGAGAACAAGGGUAGCCUGAUCUUCCGAAAGGUUCUGGUAACUCUUGUUUUGGUAGAGACGAGAAACAAAUCGAUCCGGCUUCCGAGCAACACGAUCUAAAACCCUGUAAUUUUUUUAUUUUUUUGAUAUUUAUCUUUUACUUAGGAGCACUAAAGAAGUAACCACAGAAAAUUUGAGCUUAAACAAGUGAAAGACGUGGCCUGUGGAAUUUUCUAAAGAUUGCAAAAAAUUUAAAAAAACUUCACGAGGUGAAAACUAAAAUUUCGGAGGCGAAUUUUAGAUUCUGAAAUUUCCAAACCCCCUAGAGGUAUGGACAGACACAUCUAGAAAUUUUUUCUUAUCGAUUUUGAUAUAUGGAACGUUGAAAUUGGAGUUCGUAUGCCAAAGUUAUGGGUGUUUUACGAACGGACUCCGAAUUAGAGGACAAAACGGUCCGAAAGUGGGAAAAAUUUGCGGCGGUGGCUAGAAAUUGAUAGAAAUGGUGGGGAAAAACACACGAACUGGAGUCUAACAAGACCUAACGAGCAACAAGACCUCGACCAAGACACAAACUCAACACUACGGACUCUGAAACUGAAAUAUGCAAAGGCUAUGGCGCAGAAGGGUUGUAGGACAGGAAAACGAUAUGGCACUGGACUUAUGGAACGAACAUAAGAACACUCGAAACUAAGGGUAGAUGUGAACCUAACGGUAUACCUGAAGCUUUGAUUACCACUUGAUGAGAACAAAGGUGGCCUGAUCUUCCAAAACGUUCUGGUAACUCUCGAUUUGGUGCAGACGAGACACAAAUCGAUCCGGCUUCCGAACAACACGAUCCGAAACCCUACAAUGUUUUUUAUUUUUUUGAUAUUUUUCAUUUACUUAAGAGCACUAAAGAUGUAACCACAGAAAAUUUGAGCUUAAACUAGUGAAAGACGUGGCCUUGGAAUUUUCCGAAGAUUGCGAAAAAUGUGAAAAAACCUUCAUGAGGUGAAAACUCAAACUUCGGAGGCAAAUUUGGAGAUUCUAAAAUUUUCAAACCCGCCAAAGGCACUAAAGGCAUGGAUAGACAGAUCCAAAUUUUUUUUGAUCGAUUUUGAUAUAUGGAACGUUGAAAUCGGAGUUCGUAUGCGAAAGUUAUAGCUGUUUUACGAACGGACUCCAAAUUAGAGGACAAAACGGUCCGAAAGUGGGAAAAAUUUGCGGUGGUGGCUAGAAAUUGAUGGAAACGGUGGGAAAAAACACACGAACUGGACUCUAACAAGACCUAACCAGCAACAAGACCUCGACAAGGCCACAAACUCAACAAUGCAGACUCUAAAACUGAAAUAUGCAAAGGCUGUGGCGCGGAAGGGUUGUAGGACCGGAAAACGAUAUGGCACUGGACUUGUGGGACAAACACAAGAACACUUGAAACUAAGGGUAGAUGUGAACCUAGUGGUAUACUUGAAUCUUUUAUUACCACUUGAUGAGAACAAGGGUGGCCCGAUCUUCCGAAGUGUUGUGGUAACUCUCGAUUUGGUGGAGACGAGACACAAAUCGAUCCGGCUUCUGAGCAACACAAUCCAAAACCCUGCAAUUUUUUUAUUUUUUUGAUAUAUUUCUUUCACUUAGGAGCACUAAGGAAGUAACCACAAAAAAAAUUGAGCUUAAACAAGUGAAAGACGGCCUGUGGAAUUUUCUCAAGAUUGUGAUGUGAAAAAAACAUCACGAGGUGAAAACUCAAACUUCGGAGGCAAAUUUGGAGAUUCAAAAAAUUUCAAACCCACUAAAGGCGUGGAUAGACAUAUCCAAAGAAAUUGUCUGAUCGAUUUUGAAAUAUGGAACGUUGAAAUCAGAGUUCGUAUGUGAAAGUUAUGGUUGUUUUACGAACGGACUCCAAAUUAGAGGACAAAACGGUCCGAAAGUGAGAAAAAUUUACGGCGGUGGCUAGAAAUUGAUAAAAACGGUAGGGAAAAAAUACACGAACUGGACUCUAACAAGACCUAACCAGUAACAAGACCUCGACCAGGACACAAACUCAACACUGCAGACUAUGAAAUUGAAAUAUGCAAAGGCUAUGGCGCGGAAGGGUUGUAGGAUAGGAAAACGAUAUGGCACUGGACUUAUGGGACAAACACAAGAACACGUGAAACUAAGGGUAGAUGUGAACCUAACGGUAUACCUGAAGCUUUGAUUACCACUUGAUGAGAAGAAGGGUGGCCCGAUCUUCCGAAGUGUUCUGAUAACUCUCGAUUAGGUGGAGACGAGAUACAAAUCGACCCGGCUUCCGAGCAACACAAUCCAAAACCCUGUAAUUUUUUAUUUUUUUGAUAUUUUUCUUUUACUUAGGAGCACUAAGGAAGUAACCACAAAAAAUUUGAGCUUAAACAAGUGAAAGACGUGGCCCAUGGAAUUUUCUCAAGAUUGCGAAAAUGUGAAAAAAACUUCACGAGGUGAAAACUCAAACUUUGGAGGCGAAUUUGGAGAUUCAAAUUUUUUCAAACCCACUAAAGGCAUGGAUAGACAUAUCCAAAAAAAUUUUCUGAUUGAUUUUAUUAUAUCGAACGUUGAAAUCAGAGUUCGUAUGCGAAAGUUAUGGUUGUUUUACGAACGGACUCCAAAUUAGAGGACAAAACGGUCCGAAAGUGGGAAAAAUUUGCGGCGGUGGCUAGAAAUUGAUGAAAACAGUGGGGAAAAAACACUGGACUCUAACAAGACCUAACCAGCAACAAGACCUCGACCAAGACACAAACUCAACACUGCAGACUCUGAAAUUGAAAUAUGCAAAGGCUAUGGCGCGGAAGGGUUGUAGGACAGGAAAACGAUAUGGCACUGGACUUAUGGGGCGAACAUAAGAACACUCGAAACUAAGGGUAGAUGUAAAGUAACGGUAUACCUGAUGCUUUGAUUACCACUUGAUGAGAACAAGAGUGGCCCGAUCUUCCGAAAGGUUCUGCUAACUCUCGAUUUGGUGGAGACAAGACACAAAUCGAUGCGGCUUCCAAACAACACGAUCCAAAACUCUGCAUUUUAUUUAUUUUUUUGAUAUUUUUCUUUUACUUAGGAGCACUAAAGGAGUAAGCACAGAAAAUUUGAGGUUAAACAAGUGAAAGACGUGGCCUGCAAAAUUUUCUGAAGAUUGAGAAAAAUGUGAAAAAGACUUUACGAGGUGAAAACUCAAACUUUGGAGGCAAAUUUAGAGAUUGUAAAAUUUUCAAACCCGCCAGACACGGGGACAGACAGAACAGAAAUUUUUUCUAGUCGAUUUUGAUAUAUGAAUGUUGAAAUCAGAGUUCGUAUGCGAAACUUAUGACUGUUUUACGAACGGACUCCGAAUUAGAGGACAAAACAGUGCGAAAGUGGGAAAAAUUUAAGGCGGUGCUAGAAAUUAAUGGAAACAUUGGGGAAAAACAUACGAACUAGACUCUAACAAGACCUAACAUGCAACAAGACCUCGACCAAGACACAAACUCAACACUGCAGACUCUAAAACUGAAAUAUGCAAAGGCUAUGGCGUGGAAAGGUUCUACGACAGGAAAACGAUAUGGCACUGAACUUAUGGGACGAACACAAGAACACUCGAAACUAAGGGUAGAUGUGAACCUAACGGUAUACCUGAAGUUUUGAUUACCACUUGAUGAGAACAAGGGUGGCCCGAUCUUGCGAAAGGUUCUGGUAACUCUCGAUUUUGUGGAGACGAGACACAAAUCGAUCUGGAUUCCGAACAACAGGAUCUGAAACCCUGCAAUUUUUUUAUUUUUUUGAUAUUUUUCUUUUACUUAGGAGCACUAAACAAGUAACCAUAGAAAAUUUGAGCUUAAACAAGUGAAAGAUGUGGCCUGCUGAAUUUUCUGAAGAUUGAGAAAAAUGUAAAAAAAAACUUCAUGAAGUGAAACUGAAACUUCGGAGGCAAAUUUGGAUAUUUUAAAAUUUUGAAACCCGCCAAAGAUGGGGAUAGACAGAUCUGAAUUUUUUCUCAUCAAUUUUGAUAUAUGGAACGUUGAAAUCGUAUUUCGUAAGCGAAAGUUAUGGCUGUUUUACGAACGGAUUCCGAAUUAGAGGACAAAACGGUGCGAAAGUGAGAAAAAUUUGCGGCGGUGGCUAGAAAUUGAUGGAAACGGUGGGGAAAUACACACGAACUGGACUCUAACAAGACCUAACCAGCAACAAGACCUCGACUAUGACACAAACUCAACACUGUGGACUCUAAAACUGAAAUAUGCAAAGGCUAUGGCGCGGAAGGGUUGUAGGACUGGAAAACGAUAUGGCACUGGACUUAUGGGACGAACACAAGAACACUUGAAACUAAGGGUAGAUGUAAAUCUAAUGGUAUACCUGAAGCUUUGAUUACAGAACAAGGGUGGCCCGAUCUUCCGAAAGGUUCUGGUAACUCUCGAUUUGGUGGAGACGAGACACAAAUCGAUCCAGCUUCCGAGCAACACGAUCUGAAACCCUGUAAUUUUUUUAUUUUUUUGAUAUUUUUCAUUUACUUAGGAGCACUAAAGAUGUAACCACAUAAAAUUUGAGGUUAAACAAGUGAAAGACGUGGCCUGCAAAAUUUUCUGAAGAUUGAGAAAAAUGUGAAAAAACUUCACGAGAUGAAAACUCAAAUUUCGGAUGCGAAUUUGAAGAUUAUAAAAUUUUCAAACUCGCCACAGGCAGGGAUAGACACAUCCAAAAAGUUUUUCUGAUCGAUUUUGAUAUAUGGAACAUUGAAAUCGGAGUUCGUAUGUGAAAGUUAUGGCUGUUUUACGAACGGGCUCCGAAAUAGAGGACAAAACGGUCCGAAAGUGGGAAAAAUUUGCGGCGGUGGCCAGAAAUUGAUGGAAAUAGUGUGGAAAAACACAUGAAAUGGACUCUAACAAGACCUAACCAGCAACAAGACCUCGACCAGGACACAAACUCAACACUGCAGUCUCUAAAACUGAAAUAUGCAAAGGCUAUGGCACGAAAGGAUUGUAGGACAGGAAAACAAUAUGGCACUGGACUUAUGGGAUGAACAUAAGAACACUCGAAACUAAGGGUAGAUGUGAACCUAAUGGUAUACCUGAAGCUUCGAUUACCACUUGUUGAGAACAAGGGUGGCCCGAUCUUCCGAAAGUUUAUGGUAACUCUCGAUUUGUUGGAGACGAGACACAAAUCGAUCCGGCUUCCGAACAACACGAUCUGAAACUCUACAAUUUUUUUAUUUUUUUGAUAAUUUUCUUUUACUUAGGAGCACUAAAGAAGUAACCACAGAAAAUUUGAGCUUAAACAAGUGAAAGACGUGGCCUGCUGAAUUUUCUGAAGAUUAAGAAAAAUAUAAAAAAACUUCACUAGGUGAAAACUCAAACUUCGGAGGCAAAUUUGGAGAUUUUAAAAUUUUCAAACCCGCCAAAGAUGGGGAUAGACACAUCCGUAAUUUUAUUCUGAUCGAUUUUAUAUAUGGAACAUUGAAAUCGGAGUUCGUAUGCGAAAGGUAUGGCUGUUUUACGAACAGACUCCAAAUUAGAGGACAAAACGGUGCGAAAGUGGGAAAAAUUUGCGGCGGUGGCUAGAAAUUGAUGGUAACAGUGAGAAAAUACACACGAACUGGACUCUAACGAGACCUAACUAGCAACAAGACCUCGACUAGGACACAAACUCAACACAGUGGACUCUGAAACUGAAAUAUGCAAAGGCUAUGGCGCGGAAGGGUUGUACGACAGGAUAACGAUAUGACACUCGACUUAUGGGACGAACACAAGAACACUCGAAACUAAGGGUAGAUGUGAACCUAACGGUAUAUCUGAAGCUUUGAUUACCACUUGAUGAGAACAAGGGUGGCCCGAUCUUCCGAAAGGUUCUGGUAUCUCUCGAUUUGCUGGAGACGAAACACAAAUCGAUCCGACUUCCGAGCAACACGAUCUGAAAGCCUGCAAUUUUUUUUUAUUUUUUUGAUAUUUUUCAUUUACUUAGGAGCACUAUGGAAGUAACCACAAAAAAAUUUGAGCUUAAACAAGUGAAAGACGUGGCCUGCGGAAUUUUCUGAAGAUUGCGAAAAAUGUGAAAUAACUUCACGAGGUGAAAACUCAAAUUUUGGAGGCGAAUUUGAAGAUCCUAAAAUUUUCAAACUCGCCAAAGGCAGGGAUAGACACAUCCAAAAAAUUUUUCUGAUCGAUUUUGAUAUAUGGAACAUUGAAAUCGGGGUUCGUAUGUGAAAGUUAUGGCUGUUUUAUGAACGGGCUCCGAACUAGAGGACAAAACGGUCCAAAAGUGGAAAAAAUUUGCGGCGGUGCCUGGAAAUUGAUGAAAACGGUGGGGAAAGACUCUGAAACUGAAAUAUGCAAAGGCUACGGCGCAGAAGGGUUGUAGGGUAGGAAAACGGUAUGGCACUGGACAUAUGGGACGAACACAAGAACACUCAAAACUAAGGGUAGAUGUGAACCUAAUGGUAUACGUGAAGCUUUGAUUACCACUUGAUGAAAACAAGGGUGGACCGAUCUUUCGAAAGGUUCUGGUAACUCGAUUUGGUAGAGACGAGACAAAAACCAAACCGGCCUCCGAACAACACGAUCCAAAAACCUACAAUUUUUUUUAUAAUUUUCUUUUACUUAGGAGCACUAAAGAAGUAACCAUAGAAAAUUUGAGCUUAAACAAGUGAAAGACGUGGCCUGCGGAAUUUUCUGAAGAUUGAGAAAAAUGUGAAAAAAACUUCAUGAGGUGAAAACUCAAUCUUUGGAGGUGAAUUUGGAGAUUUUAAAAUUUUCAAACCCGCCAAGCGCAGAUCCGAAAUUUUUUUCUCAUAGAUUUUGAUAUAUGGAACGUUGAAAUCGGAGUUCGUAUGCGAAAGUUACGGCUUUUUACGAACGGACUACGAAUUAGAGGACAAAACAGUGCGAAAGUGGGGAAAAUUUGCGGCGGUGGCUAGAAAUUGAUGGAAACGGUCAGGAAAUACAGACGAACUAGACUCCACAAACAACAAUGCGGACUCUGAAACUAAAAUAUGCAAAGGCUAUGGCGCGGAAGGGUUGUAGGACAAGAAAACGAUAUGGCACUGGACAUAUGGGUGUUGACGGUUCUUAAGUAUUAAUUUUAAUUAUCAAAUAAAUAAGAGAAAGGACCAAUAUGCAACCAACACCUAGAAUUAGGGUUUGAUCUGACAGAAUUCCACAAGUUUUGUUGUUUAUGUGUUUCUGCAGGGGGUUAUCAGGAAAUAAGGAAGAAAAGCCCACAUAUCGGGAUUACAUAGAGAUAUCAACGCACCGCACGAUUUUCUACCAUCUAGAAGACUCCAGAAGCCACGGGAAGAAGACGGAGGCCGAAAGGGGCCAGGCCCAGGGCGCCCGCCCCCCUCUGGAUUACAUUCGGGACUCUCUUCGCACGGGAUAUUCCACCGACCUAUUGGAUCAAGGAAAACAUAGUACCACCUCGCCUACCGACCCAAAAACGCAUAGAAGGGAAGGACUAUAUAAGGAGACCCCCCUGGCCCCUGGAGAAGACAUGAAGAAAUUAUCAUUGAGACUGAGGGGUGCCCUCGAAGGAAAACCUCUUCUCUAAUUAAUAUUUCUUUUUAGGCUUAGCAACCAAUGUAAGGUAGAAAUAGAUCUUCUAGUUUCUACUAGAUUGAGAGAGAUAGAGUGGAGGUGUAGAUUGGAGGAAGCCCGGCCUGUCGGUGUCUACUCCAAGCUUGUACCUGCAGGAUCAAGUUCUCCUAACCCGAAGCUUGCUCCUAGGAUUCUUCAGUAUUUCGACUUCUAAAUUCUAGUAAGUUCUUGUUUUAUUGUUCUUAUGGUUUAUGAGUUUACUUUAAUCUCUUCGCGUAGAGUUUAGAGUAAUCAUUGCUGGCGUAAACGUGGUGUUUAGGCUGGGGUACUCAUAGAUAUUCCCUGACUAGCUGGACCGUGGUAGUAGUGAGGAACGUGACAAUUCCGAGUUACCUUUGUAGAUCACAUCUCGUUAGCAGGAAGGAUAGGGUUUAUAGGUGCGGGUUGAACAUCCUUUGUGGUGUCUAGAUUCCGUUAGCCUCCCCAUUAGAACAAUAGAUUAUCCUUACCAAGGUUAGAAGGAGACUACGGUUGCAGUCUUCUCUAUUUAUCACUCACAUCGAAAGACAUUCUUUGUGCCUAAAGGUUAGUAGUAAUAGACCGGUUAGUCAGAUGCACUCUUUCUCCUAGUGGUAGAAAAAUAAAUACGAUACUCUGGAUAAUUUCCCGGGUGAAGUGCUCACCGAUAUCCGUGCGCUUGCGGAUCAAUUCCUUAUUGCGUUCCCAAAUAUCAACAAGCAUUUCUGGCGCCGUUGCCGGGGAGAAAGACGGUUGCUGAGAUAACCUGAGUCUUACUACUAGCUUGUAUCUAUACUUUUAUCUUUUCUUAUCUUUUAUAUUCUUUAUUUAUUUUCUUUAAUCUUACCUUAUGGAAAACCAAAAUUCUAAAUCGAUCCAUGAAUCUGCAAUCCCUUCAGCAACUGACCUUUUACCAUGGGAAUCAUCACAGCCUAUCCAAACAUCCCAGUAUAAGUUAAGUUCUAGGUUGAUUGCCAUGAUUCAAAACCUAUCUUUUUCGGGAAAGGAAGACGAAAACCCUUACCUUCAUAUUAGAGAUUUUGAGCAAACAUGUGAUUGUCUUCGCAUUGAAGGCAUUUCUGAUAAAACUUUACGUUGGAAGCUUUUUCCUUUUUCCUUAAGGGGAGAAGCUAGACAAUGGUACAGUCAGAAGGUAAGUCAACAACAAGGUGAAUGGGGAGUUUUACGAGCCAACUUUUGUCUAGAUUUCUAUUCCCUUGACCGUAUAGCCGACCUUAGACUCGAAGUCCUAUCUUUUAAACAAAAAGAUAAUGAAACUUUGGGAAAAUCCUGGAAACGUUUUUCUGAUCUUUUAGAAUCUGGUCCAAACCUUAAUCUUGAAGACCCUAUUCUUUUAUUCCACUUUUUCGAGGUCUUCAUAAAAAUCACAAACAAAUGCUGCACACAAUGUCUAGAGGUUCUUUCUUUUGCAUCCCUGCUGAUGAAGCUAGAGUGAUCCUAGAUAGAAUCCUAGAAGCUGAGAUGAAUAAUACCCUUCAUGAUGAAACCCACGAAGCCGAAGUAGACACUCUUCCAAAUUCUUCAGCUACUUUAGCUAUCCCAAGUUCUGAGCCACAAGAGGAAGAAAUUCUACCACCGGACUUCAUGCUGGAUAUAGAAUCCAAUCUUUUUGCCGAUUUUGGAAAUAUUUCAAACUACCAUUCUAUUGACAAACCCCAAAACGGUCAGUUUAGCAUUUAUUUGCCAAGUGAAUAUCAAUUGAGAGAGCUUAUCUCAGUCAUGAGUAGCGAAUGGUUGGAGGAAUCAGAGCUUUCCUCUGAUGUGAUCCGUUUGGACACACCCUCUAUAACUAUACGCUGUGCUUAUAAUUCUGAUCGAUUUAAUGCUCUUUAUAAUCCUGUUGUGGGGAUCAACGUCAUGUCUGAAUCUUUUGCACUUAAACUAUUUAAAAAGCUUGUCUUAACCCCCACAACAAAGGUCAUAAUGGAAUCUUCGGGACGGUUAGUCCCCAGUCUUGGAAUUAUUAAUGUCCUACCUCUUACGGUAGAAGGCUCCAUGGUUCAUUUGAACUUCUAUAUCUUUGAUACAUGGGACUUCGACCUGUUGAUAGGACAACCUUUUAGAAGACUCCUUUAUGAAGGUCAUACUGGAAAGCUACACAUUACUUUUGGAAAAACUUUUAAAUUCCCGAUAACAAUUUCACAAUCCUUAAACAAUAAGGCCGAGUCAUAUCUUUUGCCUGAUCCUAUGGAGGAGGUAAAGGCUGCAUCUCUAGAGCUUUUAGAUGAACCAGAUUUAGAAGACGAAACUCCUUUCUUCACUGAAGAAGAAGAUGAACCUUCUGAGCCUGAACCCUUAGAUGAGUUUGCAGAAGCACCUAGACCUCCCAUUGAACUUAAAACUUUACCACCCGGUCUUACCUAUGCUUUCUUAAACAAUAAUCCAGAGUUCCCUGUAAUCAUUAGCAAUAAACUCACUCAGGAUCAAACUCUGCGAUUAAUGACCAUUCUUGAAAAACAUCACUCAGUUUUUGGCUACUCACUUCAAGAUCUUACAGGAAUCAGUCCUAUGAUUUGUACCCAUCGUAUUCCAACAGAUCCUUCUGUUACACCCUCUCGAGAACCCCAACGUAGACUUAACAACACUAUGAGAGAGGUAGUUAAAAAGGAAGUUAUAAAGUUGCUGCAUGCAGGGAUUAUAUAUCCUGUGCCGCACAGUGAGUGGGUAAGCCCAGUGCAUGUUGUGCCUAAAAAGGGAGGCAUGACUGUUAUUAUGAAUGAAAAGAAUGAGCUAAUUCCGCAACGCACCGUCACAGGAUGGCGGAUGUGCAUAGACUAUAGAAAACUAAACAAAGCCACGAGAAAGAAUCACUUUCCUUUGCCUUUCAUAGAUGAGAUGCUAGAGCGGUUAGCAAACCAUUCGUUCUUCUGUUUCUUAGAUGGAUAUUCAGGAUAUCACCAAAUCCCGAUCCAUCCCGAUGAUCAAAGCAAAACCACUUUUACAUGCCCAUAUGGAACUUAUGCUUAUCGUAGAAUGUCUUUUAGGUUAUGUAAUGCACCAGCUUCUUUUCAAAGAUGCAUGAUGUCUAUAUUUUCUGAUAUGAUUGAAGAGAUUAUGGAAGUUUUCAUGGAUGAUUUCUCUAUUUAUGGAAAAACUUUUGAUAGUUGUAUUGAAAACUUAGACAAGGUUUUGGAAAGAUGUGAAGAAAAGCACUUAAUCCUUAAUUGGGAAAAAUGUCAUUUUAUGGUUAGGGAAGGAAUAGUGCUGGGACACCUAGUGUCUGAAAGAAGUAUUGAGGUAGACAAAGCUAAAAUUGAAGUAAUUGAACAACUACCUCCACCUGUGAACAUAAAAGGAAUUCGAAGCUUUCUUGGCCAUGCUGGUUUUUAUCGUAGAUUCAUAAAAGAUUUUUUAUUUAUUGCUAGACCACUUACUCUUUUGCUAGCCAAGGAUGCUCCUUUCGAAUUUGAUGAUGCAUGUCUAACAUCUUUCAAUUUAUUAAAGAAAGCACUCAACUCUACACCAAUCAUUCAACCCCCUAAUUGGUCGUUGCCUUUUGAAAUUAUGUGUGAUGCUAGUGAUUAUGCUGUGGGGGCAGUAUUGGGACAAACUAAAGAUAAGAAGCAUCAUGCAAUUGCUUAUGCCAGUAAAACUUUUACAGGAGCUCAACUUAAUUAUGCAACCACUGAAAAAGAGCUUCUGGCUGUUGUCUUUGCCAUUGAUAAAUUUAGAUCUUAUUUAGUUGGAGCUAAAAUAAUUGUUUACACUGAUCAUGCUGCACUAAAAUAUUUGCUCACUAAAAAAGAUGCUAAACCUCGUCUAAUUAGAUGGAUCUUAUUACUCCAAGAAUUUGACUUAGAAAUAAAAGAUAAAAAAGGAGUAGAAAAUUCUGUUGCAGAUCACUUGUCUAGAAUGUAUUUUAAGAGUCCAUAGGAAACCCCCAUUAAUGAUUCACUCCGGGACGACAUGCUCUACGGGAUUAACAGGUCUGACCCCUGGUAUGCAGAUAUUGUUAAUUUUAUGGUUUCAGGGUAUGUACCACCAGGAGCAAACAAGAAGAAGCUUAUUCAAGAAAGUCAUUCACAUAUAUGGGAUGAGCCAUACCUCUUCCGAGUAUGCUCUGAUGGCUUACUCAGGAGAUGUGUGACCACUGAGGAAGGAUGGAAGAUCAUCGACAGAUGUCAUUCAUCACCAUAUGGAGGCCACUAUGGAGCAUUCCGUACACAUUCAAAAAUCUGGCAGUGUGGAUUCUACUGGCCUACAAUGUAUGAAGACACGAAGCAAUAUAUCAGAAGAUGUGGGCCAUGUCAAAGACACGAAAACAUAAAUACAAGGGAUGCAAUGCCACUCACCAACAACCUUCAGAUUGAGCUCUUUGAUGUCUGGGGAAUAGACUACAUGGGUCCAUUUCCUCCAUCAAAGAAGUGUGAGUACAUCUUGGUGGCAGUUGACUAUGUCUCCAAGUGGGUAGAGGCAUUACCUUGCAAGCAUGCCGACAACGUCAGUUCAAAGAGGAUGUUUGAAGAAAUUAUAUUUCCAAGAUUUGGAGUUCCCAGAGUAGUGAUAAGUGAUGGAGGAGCACACUUCAUCGACAAACGCUUCAAGCAAUAUCUAUCAAGACAUGGAAUCCGUCACAACGUCGCUACCCCCUAUCAUCCUCACACAAGUGGCCAAGCAGAGACUUCCAACAAACAAAUCAAGAAUAUUCUUCAGAAGACAGUAAAUGAAAUGGGAACGGCGUGGAAAGACAAGUUACCCGAUGCACUCUGGGCAUACCGGACAGCAUACAAGACCCCAAUCGGAAUGUCUCCAUACCAAUUGGUGUACGGGAAGACUUGCCAUCUACCCGUUGAACUAGAGUUCAAAGCACACUGGGCCAUAAAGAGAUGGAAUAUGGACCUAGAUGUUGCUGGAGAUUAUAGAAGAAUGCAACUAUCAGAAUUGGAAGAAUGGCGAGAGAAGGCAUAUCACAACUCAAAGAUUUACAAAGAAAGAGUCAAAAGGUGGCAUGACAAGAGAAUCAAGAAGAAGGAGUUCACACCCGGAGAUAAGGUAUUACUUUUUAAUUCCAGGGUGAAGCUUUUCGGGCAUGGAAAACUCCGAAGCAAAUGGGAAGGACCAUUCAAGGUAAUUAAUUCAUAAUCCCACGGAGCUAUCACACUUCAAAAUAGCGAAGGUACGUUAUUCAAUGUAAAUGGUCAAUGUCUUAAAUUAUUUUUAGAGCCCAAUGAGGAAUUUGAAGAAAUAGACGUAGUCCAUUUUUACCUUCCCAUGGAGAAUUAGAGCCCGACACUUUUAGUCUGAUGUUUUUGGGUCAUAUAUAUAUUUUUCUAAAUAAUUUCGUAUCUAGAAACGCGCUCGGAAAAGUGGGCCCACAGAGGGGCCAGAGAGAGGGCGGGCGCCCAGCUCAGGUGGGCGGGCGCCCAGCUCCUGUUCCCCCUCGGUCCCGACUUUCUCUGUUAUGGAAAAUGCACUUAUGGUAAUUCGAAUAAUCCCUCGGAUGGAAAGUUUCGCACGCACGUCGACGGGAGAAACCCGAACAACCCAUAGAGGCACUUUUUGACCCCUAUAUAAACACACCCCUGACCUCAGUUUUCAAACACCAAGCCACCAAGCCUUCUCUCCUCCAAUUAGAGCUUGAUUAGUUCUCCUUCAAUUAGAGCUUGAUUAGUUCUUUGCUACUCCAAUGGCCGAGAAGUACCACGAUGAUUGGGAAGUCGUCCCCUUCAACCUCAACAUGGAGCCUGUGGAAGACCCCGAUGCCUGUGCUCUCAUCCCGGCCAACACAGAGCGACAGCUAGAAGCCAUGCCAUUACGCCAGCGCAGCUCUGCCCAAUCCUACCAUGCUCAACCAGUUCUCACCGCACCACCACAACCCCUACUCCUCAAAGGAUCAUCAUCCAAGACGAAGACCACCAAGGUGCCAAUCGGCACAAGGAUCCUUCCACCUAGACCCAAUGAGAGGGUCGUUGGAGUCAAGACCAACCGGAGCGGCAAGAUCAGCAGUGUUCGCUACACUACAGAGGAGGAAAGGCCUUACUUUGGAGGGAUUAGAGCAGCCAAAGUCUGUUUCAUCCCUCCAAAGGCAGCCCCGAAGCACGCUCUCAAUGCUUUUGAGACACCUCCCAAGCGUCGCAAGACUAUAAUGGAUAUUUAUGAGGAAGUUCGCAGACUAGAUAGAGUUAUCAUAGACCUCCAGUCCUCGAUUAAUUCCCUCACUAGGUAGCUCUCUAACCACAAAACCAUUAUACUAGGUCUUAGGCAGGAUCUUGCCAGUGCCAACAAGAAGAUCAAGGAAUUAGAGCGCCGCUAAGUUAUCUAGAUUAGACCUUGAGGCAAUACAUCUUAGUCAUUUAUCUUUAAAUUCAGUUUAGGUUUGAUAUUAUCAUCAGUUUACUAUUAUCAUCAGUUUGCUAUCAGUUUGCUACUAGUCUUUUGUAAUAAAUGCCUCAAGAUUAAUAAAGAGUAUUAUUAUUAUUAUGUCUUGUGUAUCUCUACUUAAUUUUUUGUGCAAGAAAGCAGAAAACAAGUAUGGGGGAGAUCCCUCGACAUGCCAAACACACUCCGACCACACCACUCCACGAUUCAGGUACACACUCUGCACACCUUACUUUACACAUACAUAUAUUUUGGAUUAUGCAGAUUACUGUUUCCGACAUGAUAAAUUAAAAAGAUUAAAAUAUUUCUAAUCAUGAUUAAUCUCAAUCUGUGAUAUUUCCUGAAAACUUGCAAUUAUUAUAAAAUCAUUUUAAAAACCCUGUGUUACUUAAGUCUUUGUGGAGUAUGUGAUGGUAGAGUAUGAGUUUCUUAUUCUUGAUAUCAUUGUUGCUUGGAGAAUUUAUUUCAAAAUAUUCAAAAUUCUAGCUACCAUCCUCAGUGUUUUAUAUGCCUGAUAAAACUGAAAAUAUUAAUUAUGAUUAUAAAAGCUAUCUAGUCUGUAUUGAGUUUGUUCAAAAUGAGUUAGACCCUUGUUGAGAGAUUUAUCAUGCUCCUCAGAUCAAGACAUUAUUUCAGAAAGAUUCACUCUUCCGAAGUAUUAUUGCAUUAGAGGCAUGAGCUAUGAAAAAAUAGAGAUAUUUUCGAGGAAAGAAAAAGGAGCAAGUGCUCGACAACCUCGCAGAAAAAAAUGGACAAGUGUCCGGCAGUAGAAUUAGGGGUACCUCGGUAUCCACCUAAAAAAAUGAUAGCCCAUGGUCCCUCUAAUAAGCAAUAUGCCAGCAAUAGUUGACAAAGAUUUUAAUUUCCAAUGUCUUUGAUCUAAGAGUAUGACAUUCCCCUCCCCGGAUCCCGUUUUGAUCAGGCAAUAAAUGCAAAGUAAGUAUGCUUGAGAAUUUUUGCAAAUUAAAACAACCUCAGUGAGAUAUAUAUAUAUAAAAUAAUGAGUGAUCUGAGAGAACCUAUGAGGAUAAAAAGGUAUGCUAACUUUCUUUCAAAAAUAUACAAAAGCUCCAAGUGACAGGAUUGAGAAGAAAGGAUCUUUACUCUUAACCAUAAACAUCCCUGACUAUGGUACACAGUGGAUUUUUAACACCCUGCAAAUAUAAAGAAUGUUUUAAAUGUUUACCCCAGAUAUUUUUCUUAACCAUCCUUUUCUCGAGGACGAGUAAAAGCCUAAGUAUGGGGGUAUUUGUUGACGGUUCUUAAGUAUUGAUUUUAAUUAUCAAAUAAACAAGAGAAAGGACCAAUAUGCAACCAACACCUAGAAUUAGGGUUUGAUCUGACAGAAUUCCAUGAGUUUUGUUGUUUAUGUGUUUCUGCAGGGGGUUAUCAGGAAAUAAGGAAGAAAAGCCCAAAUGUCGGGAUUACAUAGAGAUAUCAACGCACCGCACGAUUUUCUACCAUCUAGAAGACUCCAGAAGCCACGGGAAGAAGACGGAGGCCGAAAGGGGCCAGGCCCAGGGCGCCCGCCCUGGUGACCUGGGCGCCCGCCCCCCUCUGGAUUGCAUUCGGGACUCUCUUCGCACGGGAUAUUCCACCGACCUAUUGGAUCAAGGAAAACAUAGUACCACCUCGCCUACCGACCCAAAAACGUAUAGAAGGGAAGGACUAUAUAAGGAGACCCCCUGGCCCCUGGAGAAGACAUGAAGAAAUUAUCAUAGAGACUGAGGGGUGCCCUCGAAGGAAAACCUCUUCUCUAAUUAAUAUUUCUUUUUAGGCUUAGCAACCAAUGUAAGGUAGAAAUAGAUCUUCUAGUUUCUACUAGAUUGACAGAGAUAGAGUGGAGGUGUAGAUUGGAGGAAGCCCGGCCUGUCGGUGUCUACUCCAAGCUUGUACCUGCGGGAUCAAGUUCUCCUAACCCGAAGCUUGCUCCUAGGAUUCUUCAGUAUUUCGACUUCUAAAUUCUAGUAAGUUCUUGUUUUAUUGUUCUUAUGGUUUAUGAGUUUACUUUAAUCUCUUUGCGUAGAGUUUAGAGUAAUCAUUGCUGGCGUAAACGUGGUGUUUAGGCUGGGGUACUCAUAGAUAUUACCUGACUAGCUGGACCGUGGUAGUAGUGAGGAACGUGACAAUUCCGAGUUACCUUUGUAUAUCACAUCUCGUUAGCAGGAAGGAUAGGGUUUAUAGGUGCGGGUUGAACAUCCUUUGUGGUGUCUAGAUUCCGUUAGCCUCCCCAUUAGAACAAUAGAUUAUCCUUACCAGGGUUAGAAGGAGACUACGGUUGCAGUCUUCUCUAUUUAUCACUCACAUCGAAAGACAUUCUUUGUGCCUAAAGAUUAGUAGUAAUAGACCGGUUAGUCAGAUGCACUCUUUCUCCUAGUGGUAAAAAAAUAAAUACGAUACUCUGGAUAAUUUCCCGGUUGAAGUGCUCACCGAUAUCCGUGCGCUUGCGGAUCAAUUCCUUAUUGCGUUCCCAAAUAUCAACAAUGGGACGAACACAAGAACACUCGAAACUAAGGGUAGAUGUGAACCUAACGGCAUAUCUGAAUCUUUGAUUACCACUUGAUGAGAACAAGGGUGGCCCGAUCUUCCGAAAGGUUCUGGUAACACGAUUUGGUGGAAACGAGACACAAACCGAUACGGCUUCCGAACAACACGAGCCGAAACCCUGCAAUUUUUCUUAUUUUUUAAUAUUUUUCUUUUACUUAGGAUCACUAAAGAAGUAACCACAGAAAAUUUGAGCUUAAACAAGUGAAAGACGUGGCCUGCGGAAUUUUCUGAAGAUUGUGAAAAUUGUGAAAAAAACUUCAUGAGGUGAAAAAUCAAACUUCGGAGGUGAAUUUAAAGAUUCUAAAAUUUUCAAACCCACCAAAGGCGUGGAUAUAUAGAUCCAAAAUUUUUUUUCUAAUCGAUUUUGAUAUACGGAACGUUGAAACCUGAGUUCGUAUAUGAAAGUUAUGGCUGUUUUACGAACGGACUCCAAAUUAUAGGACAAAACGAUCCGAAAGUGGGAAAAAUUUGCGGUGGUGGCUAGAAAUUGAUGGAAAUGUUGGCGAAAAACACACAAACUGGACUCUAACAGGACCUAACUAGCAACAAGGCCUCAGCCAAGACACAAACUCAAUACUGCGGACUCUGAAACUGAAAUAUGCAAAUGCUAUGGCGCGGAAUGGUUGUAGGACAUGAACACGAUAUGGCAGUGGACUUAUGGAACGAACAUAAGAACACUCGAAACUAAGGGUAGAUGUGAACCUAACGGUAUACCUGAAGUUUUGAUUACCACUUGAUGAGAUCAAGGGUGGCCCAAUCUUCCGAAAGGUUCUGGUAACUCUUGAUUUGGUGGAGACGAGACACAAAUCGAUCCGGCUUCCGAACAACACGAUCCGAAUCCCUGCAACUUUUUUUUAUUUUUUUGAUAUUUUUCUUUUACUUAGGAGCACUAAAGAAGUAACCACAGAAAAUUUAAGCUUAAACAAGUGAAAGACGUGGCCUGUGGAAUUUUCUGAAAAUUGCGAAAAAUGUGAAAAAACAUCACGAGGUGAAAACUCAAACUUCGGAGACAAAUUUGGAGAAUCUAAAAUUUUCAAACCCGCCAAAGGCACCAAAGGCAUGGACAGACAGAUACGAAAUUUUUUUCUGAUCGAUUUUGAUAUAUGGAACGUUGAAAUCGGAGUUCGUAUACGAAAGUUAUGGCUGUUUUACGAACGGACUCCGAAUUAGAGGAUAAAACGGUGCGAAAGUGGGGAAAAUUUGCGGCGGUGGCUAGUAAUUGAUGGAAACGGUAAGGAAAUAGACACGAACUGGACUCCAAACAACACUGUGGACUCUGAAACUGAAAUAUACAAAGGCUAUGGCGCGGAAGGGUUGUAGGACAGAAAAAUGAUAUGGCACUGGACAUAUGGGACGAACACAAGAACACUCGAAACUAAGAGUAGAUGUGAACCUAACGGUAUACCGGAAUCUUUGAUUACCACUUGAUGAGAACAAGGGUGGCUCGAUCUUCCGAAAUGUUCUGGUAACUCGAUUUGGUGGAGACGAGACACAAACCGAUCCGGCUUCCGAACAACACGAGCUGAAACCCUGCAAUUUUUCUUAUUUUUUUUAAUAUAUUUCUUUUACUUAGGAGCACGAAAGAAGUAACCACAGAAAAUUUAAGCUUAAACAAGUGAAAGACGUGGCCUGCGGAAUUUUGUGAAGAUUGUGAAAAAUGUGAAAAAAAACUUCAUGAGGUGAAAAAUCAAACUUAGGAGGCGAAUUUGGAGAUUCUAAAAUUUUCAGACCCACCAAAGGCGUGGAUAUAUAGAUCCAAAAAUUUUUUCUAAUCGAUUUUGAUAUACGGAACGUUGAAACCAGAGUUCGUACGUGAAUGUUAUGGCUGUUUUACGAACGGACUCCAAAUUAGAGGAAAAACGGUCCGAAAGUGGGAAAAAUUUGCGGUGGUGGCUAGAAAUUGAUGGAAACGGUGGCGAAAAACACACGAACUAGACUCUAACAAGACCUCGACCAGGACACAAACUCAACACUGCAGACUCUGAAACUGAAAUAUGCAAAGGCUACGACGCAGAAGGGUUGUAGGGUAGGAAAACGGUAUGGCACUGGACAUAUGGGACGAACACAAAAACACUCAAAACUAAGAGUAGAUGUGAACCUAAUGGUAUACGUGAAGCUUUGAUUACCACUUGAUGAGAACAAGGGUGGACCGAUCUUUCGAAAUGUUCUGGUAACUCGAUUUGGUAGAGACGAGACAAAAACCAAUCCGGCCUCCGAACAAUCCAAUAACCUACAAUUUUUUUUAUAAUUUUCUUUUACUUAGGAGCACUAAAGAAGUAACCAUAGAAAAUUUGAGCUUAAACAAGUGAAAGACGUGGCCUGCAGAAUUUUGUGAAGAUUGAGAAAAAUGUGAAAAAAACUUCACGAGGUGAAAACUCAAUCUUUGGAGGUGAAUUUGGAGAUUUUGAAAUUUUCAAACCCGCCAAGCGCAGAUCCGAAAUUUUUUUCUGGUAGAUUUUGAUAUAUGGAACGUUGAAAUCGGAGUUCGUAUGCGAAAGUUACUGCUUUUUACGAACGGACUACGAAUUAGAGGACAAAACAGUGCGAAAGUGGGGAAAAUUUGCGGCGGUGGAUAGAAAUUGAUGAAAACAGUGAGGAAAUACAGACGAACUGGACUCCACAAACAACAAUGUGGACUCUGAAACUAAAAUAUGCAAAGGCUAUGGCGCGGAAGGGUUGUAGGACAAGAAAACGAUAUGGCACUGGACAUAUGGGACGAACACAAGAACACUCGAAACUAAGGGUAGAUGUGAACCUAACGGUAUAUCUGAAUCUUUGAUUACCACUUGAUGAGAACAAGGGUGGCCCGAUCUUCCGAAAGGUUCUGGUAACUCGAUUUGGUGGAAACGAGACACAAACCGAUACGGCUUCCGAACAACACGAGCCGAAACCCUAUAAUUUUUCUUAUUUUUUUAAUAUUUUUCUUUUAGUUAGGAGCACUAAAGAACUAACCAUAGAAAAUUUGAAUUUAAAGAAGUGAAGGCGUGGCCUGCGGAAUUUUCUGAAGAUUGUGAAAAAUGUGAAAAAAACUUCUUGAUGUGAAAACUCAAAAUUCGGAGGCGAAUUUGGAGAUUCUAAAAUUUUCAAACCCACCAAAGGCGUGGAUAUAUAGAUCCAAAAAUUUUUUCUAAUUGAUUUUGAUAUACGGAACAUUGAAACCGGAGUUCGUAUGCGAAAGUUAUGGCUGUUUUACGAACGGACUCCAAAUUAGAGGACAGAACGGUCCGAAAGUGAGAAAAAUUUGCGGCGGUGGCUAGAAAUUGAUGGAAACGGUGGGAAAAAAUACACAAACUGGACUCUAACAGGACCUAACCAGCAACAAGACCUCAGCCAAGUCACAAACUCAAUACUGCGGACUCUGAAACUGAAAUAUGCAAAGGCUAUGGCGCGGAAGGGUUGUAGGACAAGAAAACGAUAUGGCACUGGACUUAUGGGACGAACAUAAGAACACUCGAAACUAAGGGUAGAUGUGAACCUAACGGUAUACCUGAAGUUUUGAUUACCACUUGAUGAGAACAAGGGUGGCCCGAUCUUCCGAAAGGUUCUGGUAACUCUUGAUUUGGUGGAGACGAGACACAAAUCGAUCCGGUUUUCGAACAACACGAUCCGAAUCCCUGUAAUUUUUUUGUUAUUUUUUUGAUAUUUUUCUGUAACUUAGGAGCACUAAAGAAGUAACCACAGAAAAUUUGAGCUUAAACAAGUGAAAGACGUGGCAUGUGGAAUUUUCUGAAGAUUGCGAAAAAUGUGAAAAAACAUCACUAGGUGAAAACUCAAACUUUGAAGGCAAAUUUGGAGACUCUAAAAUUUUCAAAACCGGUAAAGGCAUGGAUAGACGGAUCCAAAAAUUUUUUGAUCAAUUUUGAUAUAUGGAAUGUUGAAAUCGGAGUUCGUAUGUGAAAGUUAUAGCUGUUUUACGAACGGACUCUAAAUUAGAGGACAAAACGGUUCGAAAGUGGAAAAAAUUUGCAGCGGUGGCUAAAAAUUGAUGGAAACGGUGAGGAAAACCACACGAACUGGACUCGAACAAGACCUAACCAGAAACAAGACCUCGACAAGGACACAAACUCAACAAUGCAGACUCUAAAACUGAAAUAUGCAAAGGCUAUGGCGCGAAAGGGUUGUAAGACAGGAAAACGAUAUGUCAUUGGACUUAUGGGACGAACACAAGAACACCCGAAACUAAGGGUAGAUAUGAAUCUAACGGUAUACCUCAACCUUUGAUUACCACUUGAUGAGAACAUGGGUGGUCCACUCUUCCGAAAGGUUCUGGUAACUCUCGAUUUGGUGGAGACGAGGCACAAAUCGAUCCGGCUUCCGAACAACACGAUCCGAAACCCUACAAUUUUUUUUAUUUUUUUGAUAUUUUUCUUUUGCUUAGGAGCACUAAAGAAGUAACCUUAGAAAUUUGAGCUUAAACAAGUGAAAGACGUGACCUGCGGAAUUUUCUGAAGAUUGAGAAAAAUAUGAAAAAAACUUCACGAGAUGAAAACUCAAUCUUCGGAUGCGAAUUUGGAGAUUUUAAAAUUUUCAAACCCGCCAAGCGCAGCGACAGACAGACCCAAAAUGUUUUCUGAUCGAUUUUGAUAUAUGGAACGUUGAAAUCGGAGUUCGUAUGCGAACGUUAUGGCUGUUUUAAGAACGGACUCCGAAUUAGAGGACAAAACGGUGCGAAAGUGGGGAAAAUUUGCGGCGGUGGCUAUAAAUUGAUGGAAACGGUAAGGAAAUACACAUGAACUGGACUUGGAAACAACAUUGUGGACUCUGAAACUGAAAUAUACAAAGGCUAUGGCGCGGAAGGGUUGUAGGACAGGAAAAUGAUAUGACACUGGACAUAUGGGACGAACACAAGAACACUCGAAACUAAGGGUAGAUGUGAACCUAACGGUAUAAUUGAAUCUUUGAUUACCACUUGAUGAGAACAAGAGUAGCCCGAUCUUCCAAAAGGUUCUGGUAACUCGAUUUGGUGGAGACGAGACAAACCGAUCCGGCUUCCGAACAACACGAUCCGAAACCCAGCAAUUUUUCUUAUUUUUUUUAAUAUUUUUCUUUUACUUAGGAGCACUAAAGACGUAACCACAGAAAAUUUGAGCUUAAACAAGUGAAAGACGUGGCCCGCGGAAUUUUCUGAAGAUUGAGAAAAAUGUGAAAAAAACUUCACGACGUGAAAACUCAAUCUUUGGAGGUGAAUUUGGAGAUUUUAAAAUUUUCAAACCCGCCAAGCGCAGGGACAAAUAGAUCUGAAUUUUUUUUCGAUCGAUUUUGAUAUAUGGAACGUUGAAUUCGGAGUUCGUAUGCGAAAGUUAUGGCUUUUUUACGAACGGACUCCGAAUCAGAGGACAAAACGAUGCGAAAGUGGGGAAAAUUUGUAGCGGUGGCUAGAAAUUGAUGGAAACGGUGAGGAAAUACACACGAAGUUGACUCCACAAACAACACUGCGGACUCUGAAACUGUAAUAUGCAAAGACUAUGGUGCGGAAGGGUUGUAUGACAGGAAAACGAUAUGGCACUAGACAUAUGGGACGAACAUAAGGACACUCGAAACUAAGGGUAGAUGUGAACCUAACGGUAUACCUGAAGCUUUGAUUACCACUUCAUGAGAAAAAGGGUGGACCGAUCUUUCGAAAGGUUCUGGUAACUCGAUUUGGUAGAGACGAGACAAAAACCGAUCCGGCUUCCGGACUACACGAUCCGAAACCCUACAAUUUUUUUUAUUAUUUUUUAUAAUUUCAUUUUACAUAGCAGCACUAAAGAAGUAACCACAGAAAAUUUAAGCUUAAAUAAGUGAAAGACGUGGCCUGCGGAAUUUUCUGAAGAUUGUGAAAAAUGUGAAAAAAACUUCAUGAGGUAAAAAAUCAAACUUAGGAGGCAAAUUUGGAGAUAUUAAAAUUUUCAAACCCACCAAAGGUGUGGAUAUAUAGAUCCAAAAAUUUUUUCUAAUCGAUUUUGAUAUACGGAACGUUGAAACCAGAGUUCGUACGUGAAUGUUAUGGCUGUUUUAUGAACAGACUCCAAAUUAGAGGAAAAACGGUCCGAAAGUGGGAAAAAUUUACGAUGGUGGCUAGAAAUUGAUAGAAAUGGUGGCGAAAAACACACGAACUAGACUCUAACAAGACCUCGACCAGGACACAAACUCAACACUGCAGACUCUAAAACUGAAAUAUGCAAAGGCUAUGGCGCAGGAGGGUUGUAGGGCAGGAAAACGGUAUGGCACUGGACUUAAUGGACGAACACAAGAAUACUCAAAACUAAGAGAAGAUGUGAACCUAAUAUUAUACCUGAAGCUUUGAUUACCAUUUGAUGAGAACAAGGGUGGACCGAUCUUUCGAAAGGUUCUGGUAACUCGAUUUGGUAGAGACGAGACAAAACCGAUCUGGCCUCCGAACAACACGAUCCGAAACCCUACAAUUUUUUUUAUAAUUUUCUUUUACUUAGGAGCACUAAAGAAGUAACCAUAGAAAAUUUGAGCUUAAACAAGUGAAAGACGUGGCCCGCGGAAUUUUUUGAAGAUUGAGAAAAAUGUGAAAAAAACUUCACGAUGUGAAAACUCAAUCUUUGGAGGUGAAUUUGGAGAUUUUAAAAUUUUCAAACCCGCCAAGCGCAGGGACAAAUAGAUCUGAAUUUUUUUCGAUCGAUUUUGAUAUAUGGAACGUUGAAUUCGGAGUUCGUAUGCGAAAGUUAUGGCUUUUUUACGAACGGACUCGGAAUCAGAGGACAAAACGAUGCGAAAGUGGGGAAAAUUUGUAGCGGUGGCUAGAAAUUGAUGGAAACGGUGAGGAAAUACACACGAAGUUGACUCCACAAACAACACUGCGGACUCUGAAACUGUAAUAUGCAAAGACUAUGGUGCGGAAGGGUUGUAUGACAGGAAAACGAUAUGGCACUAGACAUAUGGGACGAACACAAGAACACUCGAAACUCAGGGUAGAUGUGCACCUAACGGUAUACCUGAAUCUCUGAUUACCACUUGAUGAGAACAAGGGUGGCCCGAUCUUCCAAAAGGUUCUGGUAACUCGAUUUGGUGGAGACGAGACACAAACCGAUCCGGCUUCCGAACAACACGAGCCGAAAUCCUGCAAUUUUUCUUAUUUUUUAAAUAUUUUUCUUUUACUUAGGAGCGCUAAAGAAGUAACCACAGAAAAUUUGAAUUUAAAGAAGUGAAAGACGUGGCCUGCGGAAUUUCCUGAAGAUUGUGAAAAAUGUGAAAAAAAACUUCAUGAGGUGAAAACUCAAAAUUUGGAGGCGAAUUUGGAGAUUCUAAAAUUUUCAAACCCACCAAAGGCGUGGAUAUAUAGAACCAAAAAAAUUUUCUAAUCGAUUUUGAUAUACGGAACAUUGAAACCGGAGUUCGUAUGUGAAAGUUAUGGUUGUUUUACGAACGGACUCCAAAUUAUAGAACAAAACGAUCCGAAAGUGGGAAAAAUUUGCGGUGGUGGCUAGAAAUUGAUGUAAAUGUUGGCGAAAAUCACACGAACUGGACUCUAACAUGACCUAACCAGCAACAAGGCCUCAGCCAAGACACAAACUCAAUACUGUGAACUCUGAAACUGAAAUAUGCAAAGGCUAUGGCGCGGAAGGGUUGUAGGACAGGAAAACGAUAUGGCACUGGACUUAUGGGACGAACAUAAGAACACUCGAAACUAAGGGUAGAUGUGAACCUAACGGUAUACCUGAAGCUUUGAUUACCACUUCAUGAGAAAAAGGGUGGACCGAUCUUUCGAAAGGUUCUGGUAACUCGAUUUGGUAGAGACGAGACAAAAACCGAUCCGGCUUCCGAACAACACGAUCCGAAACCCUACAAUUUUUUUUAUUAUUUUUUAUAAUUUCAUUUUACAUAGCAGCACUAAAGAAUUAACCACAGAAAAUUUAAGCUUAAAUAAGUGAAAGACGUGGCCUGCGGAAUUUUCUGAAGAUUGUGAAAAAUGUGAAAAAAAACUUCAUGAGGUAAAAAAUCAAACUUAGGAGGCAAAUUUGGAGAUAUUAAAAUUUUCAAACCCACCAAAGGCGUGGAUAUAUAGAUCCAAAAAUUUUUUCUAAUCGAUUUUGAUAUACGGACCGUUGAAACCAGAGUUCGUACGUGAAUGUUAUGGCUGUUUUAUGAACAGACUCCAAAUUAGAGGAAAAAACGGUCCGAAAGUGGGAAAAAUUUACGAUGGUGGCUAGAAAUUGAUAGAAAUGGUGGCGAAAAACACACGAACUAGACUCUAACAAGACCUCGACCAGGACACAAACUCAACACUGCAGACUCUAAAACUGAAAUGUGCAAAGGCUAUGGCGCAGAAGGGUUGUAGGGCACGAAAACGGUAUGGCACUGGACUUAAUGGACGAACACAACAAUACUCAAAACUAAGAGAAGAUGUGAACCUAAUAUUAUACCUGAAGCUUUGAUUACCAUUUGAUGAGAACAAGGGUGGACCGAUCUUUCGAAAGGUUCUGGUAACUCGAUUUGGUAGAGACGAGACAAAAUCGAUCCGGCCUCCGAACAACACGAUCCGAAACUCUACAAUUUUUUUUAUAAUUUUCUUUUACUUAGGAGCACUAAAGAAGUAACCAUAGAAAAUUUGAGCUUAAACAAGUGAAAGACGUGGCCUGCGGAAUUUUCUGAAGUUUGAGAAAAAUGUGAAAAAAACUUCACGAGGUGAAAACUCAAUCUUUGGAGGCGAAUUUGGAGAUUUUAAAAUUUUCAAACCCGCCAAGCGCAGAUCCGAAAUUUUUUUCUGAUCGAUUUUGAUAUAUGGAACGUUGAAAUCGGAGUUCGUAUGCGAAAGUUAUGGCUUUUUUAUGAACGGACUCCGAAUUAGAGAACAAAACAGUGCGAAAGUGGGGAAAAUUUGGGCGGUGGCUAGAAAUUGAUGGAAACAGUGAGGAAAUACACACGAAGUUGACUCCACAAACAACACUGCGGACUCUGAAACUGUAAUAUCCAAAGGCUAUGGUGCAGAAGGGUUGUAGGACAGGAAAACGAUAUGGUACUAGAUAUAUGGGACGAAGACAAGAAUACUCGAAACUCAGGGUAGAUGUGAACCUAACGGUAUACCUGAAUCUCUGAUUACCACUUGAUGAGAACAAGGGUGGCCCGAUCUUCCAAAAGGUUCUGGUAACUCGAUUUGGUGGAGACGAGACACAAACCGAUCUGGCUUCCGAACAACACGAGCCAAAACCCUGCAAGUUUUCUUAUUUUUUAAAUAUUUUUUUUUACUUAGGAGCACUAAAGAAGUAACCAUAGAAAAUUUCAAUUUAAAGAAGUGGAAGACGUGGCCUGCGGAAUUUUCUGAAGAUUGUGAAAAAUGUGAAAAAAAAAUUCAUGAGGUGAAAACUCAAAAUUCGGAAGCGAAUUUGGAGAUUCUAAAAUUUUCAAACCCACCAAAGGCGUGGAUAUAUAGAUCCAAAAAAAUUUUCUAAUUGAUUUUGAUAUACGAAACAUUGAAACCGGAGUUCGUAUGUAAAAGUUAUGGCUGCUUUACGAACGGACUCCACAUUAUAGAACAAAACGAUCCGAAAGUGGAAAAAAUUUGCGGUGGUGGCUAGAAAUUGAUGGAAAUGUUGGCGAAAAACACACGAACUGGACUCUAACAGGACCUAACCAGCAACAAGGCCUCAGCCAAGACACAAACUCAAUACUGUGGACUCUGAAACUGAAAUAUUUAAAGGCUAUGGCGCGGAAGGGUUGUAGGACAGGAAAACGAUAUGGCACUGGACUUAUGGGACGAACAUAAGAACACUCGAAACUAAGGGUAGAUGUGAACCUAACGGUAUACCUGAAGCUUUGAUUACCACUUCAUGAGAAAAAGGGUGGACCGAUCUUUCGAAAGGUUUUGGUAACUCGAUUUGGUAGAGACGAGACAAAAACCGAUCCGGCUUCCGAACAACACGAUCCGAAACCCUACAAUUUUUUUUAUUUUUUUUAUAAUUUAAUUUUACUUAGGAGCACUAAAGAAGUAACCACAGAAAAUUUAAGCUUAAACAAGUGAAAGACGUGGCCUGCGGAAUUUUCUGAAGAUUGUGAAAAAUGUGAAAAAAAACUUCAUGAGGUGAAAAAUCAAACUUAGGAGGCAAAUUUGGAGAUUUUAAAAUUUUCAAACCCACCAAAGGCGUGGAUAUAAAGAUCCAAAAAAUUUUUCUAAUCGAUUUUGAUAUACGGAACGUUGAAACCAGAGUUCGUACGUGAAUGUUAUGGCUGUUUUAUGAACGGACUCCAAAUUAGAGGAAAAACGGUCCGAAAGUGGGAAAAAUUUACGGUGGUGGCUAGAAAUUGAUGGAAAUGGUGGCGAAAAACACACGAACUAGACUCUAACAAGACCUCGACCAGGACACAAACUCAACACUGCAGACUCUAAAACUGAAAUGUGCGAAGGCUAUGGCGCAGAAGGGUUGUAGGGCAGGAAAACGGUAUGGCACUGGACUUAAUGGACGAACACAAGAAUACUCAAAACUAAGGGAAGAUGUGAACCUAAUGUUAUACCUGAAGCUUUGAUUACCAUUUGAUGAGAACAAGGGUGGACCGAUCUUUCGAAAGGUUCUGGUAACUCGAUUUGGUAGAGACGAGACAAAAACCGAUCCGGCCUCCGAACAACACGAUCCGAAACCCUACAAUUUUUUUAAAAUUUUCUUUUACUUAGGAGCACUAAAGAAGUAACCAUAGAAAAUUUGAGCUUAAACAAGUGAAAGACGUGGCCUGCGGAAUUUUCUGAAGUUUGAGAAAAAUGUGAAAAAACUUCACGAGGUGAAAACUCAAUCUUUGGAGGCGAAUUUGGAGAUUUUAAAAUUUUCAAACCCACCAAUCGCGGAUCCGAAAUUUUUUUCUGAUCGAUUUUGAUAUAUGGAACGUUGAAAUCGGAGUUCGUAUGCGAAAGUUAUGCCUUUUUUACGAACGGACUCCGAAUUAGAGGACAAAAUUGUGCGAAAGUGGGGAAAAUUUGCGGCGGUGGCUAGAAAUGGAUGGAAACGGUGAGGAAAUACACACGAACUGGACUCCACAAACAACACUGCGGACUCUGAAACUAAAAUAUGCAAAGGCUAGUGCGUUGAAGGUUGUAGGACAGAAAAACGAUAUGGCACUGGACAUAUGGGACGAACACAAGAACACUCGAAACUAAAGGUAGAUGUGAACCUAACGGUAUACCUGAAUCUUUGAUUACCACUUGAUGAGAACAAGGGUGGUCCGAUCUUUCGAAAGGUUCUGGUAACUCGAUUUGGUGGAGACGAGACACAAACCGAUCCGGCUUCCGAACAACAAGAUCCGAAACCCUACAAUUUUUUUAUUUUUUUAUAAUUUUCUUUUACUUAGGAGCACUAAAGAAGUAACCAUAGAAAAUUUGAGCUUUAACAAGGGAAAGACGUGGCCUGCGGAAUUUUCUAAAGAUUGAGAAAAAUAUGAAAAAAACUUCACGAGGUGAAAACUCAAUCUUUGGAGGUGAAUUUGGAGAUUUUGAUAUUUUCAAACCCACCAAGCGCAGGGGCAGACAGAUCCGAAAAUGUUUUUGUGAUCGAUUUUGAUAUAUGGAACGUUGAAAUCAGAGUUCGUAUGCGAAAGUUAUGGCUUUUUUAUGAACGGACUCCAAAUUAGUGGAGAAAACGGUGCGAAAGUGGGGAAAAUUUGUGGCGGUGGCUAGAAAUUGAUGAAAACGGUGAGGAAAUACAGACGAACUAGACUCCACAAACAACACUGUGGACUCUGAAACUGAAAUAUGCAAAGGCUAUGGCACGAAAGGGUUGUAGGACAGGAAAGCGAUAUGGCACUGGACAUAUGGGACGAACACAAGAACACUCAAAACUAAAGGUAGAUGUGAACCUAACGGUAUACCUGAAUCUUUGAUUACCACUUGAUGAGAACAAGGGGGCCCGAUCUUCCGAAAGGUUCUGGUAACUCGAUUUGGUGGAGACGAGACACAAACCGAUCCGGCUUUCGAACAACACGAGCCAAAACCCUACAAUUUUUCUUAUUUUUUUAAUAUUUUUCUUUUACUUUGGAGCACUGAAGAAGUAAGCACAGAAAAUUUGAGCUUAAACAAGUGAAAGACGGGGCCUGCUGAAUUUUCUGAAGAUUGUGAAAAAUGUGAAAAAAACUUCAUGAGGUGAAAAGUCAAACUUCAGAGGCGAAUUUAGAGAUUCUAAAAUUUUGAAACCCACCAAAGCAUGGAAAUAUAUAUCCAAAAAAAUUUUUCUAAUCGAUUUUGAUAUACAGAACGUUGAAACCGGAGUUCGUAUGUGAAAGUUACGGCUGUUUUACGAACGGACUCCAAAUUACACGACAAAACGGUCUGAAAGUGGGAAAAAUUUGCGGUGGUGGCUAGAAAUUGAUGGAAAUGGUGGCCAAAAACACACGAACUAGACUCUAAGAAGACUUAACCAGCAACAAGACCUCGACCAGGACACAAACUCAACAAUGCGGACUCUAAAACUGAAAUUUGCAAAGGCUAUGGCGCGGAAGGGUUGUAGGACAGGAAAACGAUAUGGCACUGGACUUUUGGGACGAACACAAGAACACUCAAAACUAAGGGUAGAUGUGAACCUAAUGGUAUACGUGAAGCUUUGAUUACCACUUGAUGAGAACAAGGCUGGACUGAUCCUUCGAAAGGUUCUGGUAACUCGAUUUGGUAGAGACGAGACAAAAACCGAUCUGGCUUCCGAACAACACGAUCCGAAACCCUACAAUUUUUUUUAUUUUUUUGAUAUUUCUCUUUUACUUAGGAGCACUGAAGAAGUAACCAUAUAAAAUUUCAGCUUAAACAAGUGAAAGACGUGGGCCUGCGGAAUUUUCUAAAGAUUGAGAAAAAUGUGAAAAAAACUUCAAGAGGAGAAAACUCAAUCGUUGGAGGCGAAUUUGGAGAUUUUAAAAUUUUCAAACCCGCCAAGCGCAGGGACAGACAAAUCCGAAAUUUUUUUCUCAUUAAUUUUGAUAUAUGGAACGUUGAAAUCGGAGUUCGUAUGCGAAAGUUAUGGCUUUUUUACGAACGGACUCCGAAUUAGAGGACAAAACGGUGCGAAAGUGGGGAAAAUUUGCAGUGGUGGCUAGAAAUUGAUGGAAAUGGUGAGGAAAUACACACGAACUGGACUCUAACAAGACCUAACCAGUGACAAGACCUCGACUAGGACACAAACAACACUGCAGACUCUGAAACUGAAAUAUGCAUAGGCUAUGACAUGGAUGGGUUGUAGGAAACAAAAACAAUAUGGCACUGGACUUAUGGGACGAACACAAGAACACUCGAAACUAAGGGUAGAUGUGAACCUAACGGUAUACCUGAAUCUUUGAUUACCACUUGAUAAGAACAAGGGUGGCCCGAUCUUCCAAAAGGUUCUGGUAACUCGAUUUGGUGGAGACGAGACACAAACCGAUCCGGCUUCAGAACAACACGAGCCGAAACCCUGUAAUUUUCUUAUAUUUUUGAUAUUUUUCUUUUACUUAGGAGCACCAAAAAAAUAACCAUAGAAAAUUUGAGCUUAAACAAGUGAAAGACGUGGCAUGCGGAAUUUUCUGAAGAUUGUGAAAACUGUGAAAAAAACUUCACGAGGUGAAAAGUCAAACUUCGGACGCGAAUUUGGAGAUUCUAAAAUUUUCAAACCUGCCAAAGGCAUGGAUAGAUAGAUCUAAAAAUUUUUUCAAAUCAAUUUUGAUAUUCGGAACAUUGAAACAGGAGUUCGUAUGCGAAAGUUAUGGUUGUUUUACGAAUGGACUCCAAAUUAGAGGACAAAACGGUCCAAAAGUGGGAAAAUUUUGCGGCGGUGGCUAGAAAUUGAUGGAAACGGUGGCGAAAAACAUACAAACUAGACUCUAACAAGACCUAACUAGCAACAAGACUUCGACCAGGGCACAAACUCAACACUGCGGACUCUGAAACUGAAAUAUGCAAAGGCUAUGGCGCAGAAGGGUUGUAGGACAGGAAAACGAUAUGGCACUGGACUUAUGGGACGAACAAAAGAACACUCAAAACUAAGGGUAGAUGUGAACCUAAUGGUAUACCUGAAGCUUUGAUUACCGCUUGAUGAGAAGAAGGGUGGCCCGAUCUUUCGAAAGGUUCUGGUAACUCGAUUUGGUGGAGACGAGACAAAAACCAAUCUGGCUUCCAAACAACACGAUCCGAAACCCUACAAUUUUUUUUAUAUUUUUGAUAUUUUUUUUACGUAGGAGCACUAAAGAAGUAACCAUAGAAAAUUUGAGCUUAAACAAGUGAAAGACGUGGCCUGUGGAAUUUUCUGAAGAUUGAGAAAAAUGUGAAAAAAAUUCAGGAGGUGAAAACUCAAUUUUUGGAGGCGAAUUUGCAGAUUUUAAUAUUUUCAAACCCGCCAAGCACAGGG